rnacentral:misc_RNA from 1 species
GGUAAAAUGCUAUUUGUCCUAACUUUUUUUACCAACUAAUUUUCCAACUUGAUGAGACAUUAUUUUAUUAUAGUCUCUUUUGAAAAGAGUAUUGUUUCCUUAAAUAUUUAAGGUGUACUUUAUUGUAGCUGUACAAUCAGUGGUAUAAUAAGUUGGUAUAAAAAUGGCAGUGAAAAUAGCAGUGAUCACAUAUGCUCACAAUCAUCUCAUCAAAGCUUAAUAGGUGAGUGAUGAAGCCUUGAUAUGCUCCUUCACAUAUAUGGGGUCCCACUCUGGUCCUAGCACCUAGGACCUGCAAUACAAAGACAAAAGGUCAGAGAUCCACCGGGGUAGGCCCUUGUGAGGACCCUCUAAUGUUCAAGUUAGAGGGCGUUGGCUAAUUUCCUUAAGUGAACAGAUCGUUUACAAGUAAUAAAAUGAUGAGUAUCAUUUCCACGAGGAUCGUGUUGAGUAUUGAAUUUUAGUAAUUACAAUUAUUUAGACAAUUGAAUCCAAGCUAAGAUUAAAUUUAAAGAACAAUAAUUAAAACAUAAUUUAUCAACUAAGAUGAAUUAACCAAGCUCAAUAAAAUUCUAACAACCAAUGGAUUAAAGAUUCUAGGACUAGGAUUUCACUAUAUCAACUCACUAUGAUAAAAAAAAAAAAACUUAACACUCUCAAUCAUGGAUGAAAUUGCUUUGAAGGUGAAUUAUCCUAAGAGUAAAACAUGAAAGACAUUUAUUAUGAUAAAAACCAAAUAAAAGUAUAAUAAAACUAAUAAAAACUACAUAACACCAAUAAAAAAUAUGCAUAAUUGACCCUAAAAUAAGCUACAGAUUAUGAGCACAUCAGAGGGGGUUUAUUUUCUGGUAAAGGGAGUUUAAAGAAGGAGAGAGGAAAAAGAGAGAAGAAGAAGAAGAAUUUCCUUU